GGAAUAUUGGUCAAUGGACGCAAGUCUGAACCAGCCAUGCCGCGUGGAGGAUGAAGGCCCUCUGGGUUGUAAACUUCUUUUAUCUGGGAAGAAAUCGGACUUUUCUAAGGCCGUUGACGGUACCAGGUGAAUAAGCACCGGCUCACUCCGUGCCAGCAGCCGCGGUAAUACGGAGGGUGCAAGCGUUAUCCGGAUUCACUGGGUUUAAAGGGUGCGUAGGUGGGUUGGUAAGUCAGUGGUGAAAUCUCCAAGCUUAACUUGGAAACUGCCGUUGAUACUAUCAAUCUUGAAUAUCGCGUAGGUAAGCGGAAUAUGUCAUGUAGCGGUGAAAUGCUUAGAUAUGACAUAGAACACCAAUUGCGAAGGCAGCUUACUUCACGAUCAUUGACACUGAGGCACGAAAGCGUGGGGAGCAAA
rnacentral:rRNA from 1 species